UCUCCUUUCUUUCUAAUUCCA
rnacentral:piRNA from 1 species